CUCUUUCACGUACAAAUCCUUUGAGCCUUCUUGACAUUAUAUUGAAGCCUCUUCAUUCUCCCUCCUUCUCGCCAUCUUCACUAUAUAGACGACGGCUACACUCAAAAUCCAAAGUUUCUUCACAGACGAUGACAAUUUUCAGAACACAAAUUCUCGCCAUAGCCUCCAAUCUUGGUUACGUUGUCGCUCCUCCGUUGCAGAGAUUUCCGAGGUGAGCACUGUCUGGAUGUGUUAAGAAAACUUUGAUAUCAAAGACACAAAUCUCAGGCUCAAAUAGUGUAUCUGGUUCGCAGUAGAGGCCUGUGAAUCCCUUUCAGAGUCAGAAUGAAACGGUGCGUGUUUUGAAUUCGACUAUAAUACCAAGGAUCUGUAAGACCUUUGCACUAUAUAGGGGAAUUGGUUUGCAUAAAGUGGCCAAGUUUGAGAAUGAGCAGCAAGAACUUCUACGGUUCCCACAAACACUUUUCGACACAAAGAUGCCAGCUGGUCAUACAGUUUUGCAACCUUUCGCAGAUGACUUCUCGAAUUAAAAGAUAUAAGUUGAGGAACUGUUCUUUGUUCUACGUAUUGUUGAGAGGACUCAGUGUGGGAAUGUGAGUUAAUUAUUCUUGCGCAGAACAGUGGAGAUCAAUGGCUGGUAUAGCUCUACUUUGCAUCUGGAAGAUUGACAAGAGGGGAUAAACGUUGUGAGAAAAUCGGAGCACAAGUGAGCCAGAAACUGAUUGUGGUCCAUGGAAUCAUCUUGCUAUCUUUAACAGCUGCAAAUACAUAUGAUCCACAGUCAUGUGACCACCCUAGUUAGACUCUAGCUCCGCCACUGGUCAGAAGCUAGGGGACGCAGCUUAGUGUUUAGUUUAUAUGGUGGGAUAUAUCUAUUUCAAUCUGAUUCAAAUCCAUUACGGUUUGUGUGAUGAGUUACAAAAUAGGAUUUGGAACAAAGCCAAAGUUUAUCCGUGAGAGACGUCUCAAGUCAGCCAACUCAACCAACCAAAUCCAGUUUCACACACACUGCUAGAUCAAUACAAACCACCUGCUCAGGGAUCAGGAAAGCUGGUGAACUGAUGGGCAUCGAUAUGCUGCUCUUGGAUGAUCAGGUUCAUUUUUUGGUGUCGAAACACUUGAACUGGGCUCAAAUCUGAUCAAGAUUAGCGAGAAGAUUGGAGAUUAGUGGAAACUAAAAGAGAAGAAAGGAUAUGUAGGAUUAUCACAGAAGAUGAUGCUACCAUCAAAUGGCUCUUUGGAAGUGAUAGAAAGCUCUGCUACCACCACCCUUAAUUCGGGUCAACUCAAGAAACUGGCUAAAUUCAAUCAAUAAAAAGUAAAUCAAUGUCAAAGUUUUCAUCUAAAUGAUGUAUAUGAACUAACGCAGUGGUGAGUCUAAUGAAAGUUGUUGGAGCACGGUGGAGAAGUGGUGGCAUUGUAUUGGCGAGUGAUGGCCGUAACGGUAGAUUGAAUCACCAGGAAGCGGUGUGCUCAUGGCAUGGCUGUGAUGGUUGUGUGAUUUUCCAAAAAAAUACAGAGGAGACAAAGAAACAGACGUCGAGAAGAGGUGAGUUUUUGCAUCAGCAAUUUUUGUAUUCAGAAGCCAUGGAGGUCAGAUCGAAGGUGUAUAUAAGGACGUGUCGGCAAAGCCAGAAAAAGUGUUAUUACUUAAUCGACAAGAAGCCUAAAGCCUUAAUGAACUCAAAAAUAUCAGUGUGUGAAAGCAAAUUUGGAAGUGUGCUGGCUAGAGUUAGUAGAAUCAUAUCACGAUCAAG